GUGCUUGCUUCGUCAGCACAUAUACUAACUAAAAUUGGAACUAUACAGAGAAGAUUAGCAUGGCCUCAGUGCAAGGAUGACAUGCAAAUUCAUGAAGUGUUCCAUAAAAAA
ensembl:snRNA U6 U6 spliceosomal RNA